ACCUUGGCCUCCCAAAGUGCUGAGAUUACAGGCAUGAGCCACUGUGCCCAGCUGAAUGGACUUUUUUAACGGGAAAGUUUCAUUGAAUUUGCUACUUUAGUUUUUGCUAAACCAGCCUCCCUUAACCCUACCUUCUUCUCACUAGAAAACAAGUCAGUGUGAAAGCAAUUAAAACCAUAUAUUCAUUAUCCAUGUAUUUAUUACUUUUAUUAUUCUGUUUAGUGAGAUUGCCCCAGCUUAGGAAAGGAAUUACUUGAUUUUUAUCUUUUUUGCCCCAGACAUGGAGCCCAAACCUGCAACCAAGAAUGCUACACAAACAAAGGCUAUUUCUGAAGAUUUAUCACAGGAGGCCAUACUAGAGAAACUUACAGAGAAUGGUCUGUGGGAUUCCAGAAUGGAAGGGUUAUGGAAAUGGAAUGAUAGGAUAUUGAGAUUACAAAAUAAUCAGGAGAAUCAUUUGAGUCAAAGAAUAAUUCCACUCAGGAAGACUCCCACUAGUCAAAGAGGCUUUAGAUUUGAAUCUAUUCUUAUUCCAGAACCAGGCUUUGUCACAGAAGAGCUUCACAGCAGACGCCAAACACAAGAGGAAAAUUUCACAGAGAAUUUAAAUUUGAUUACAGAUACCCAUUUGGGGAAGAUAAUUUGCAAGGAGAUGAAAGGCAGCAAAGCCAUAAGGCAGACUUCAGAACUAACUUUGGGGAAAAAAUCCAAUAAUAAGGAAAAACCCUACAAAUGUAGUACAUGCGAAAAGGCCUUUCAUUAUAGAUCAUUGCUCAUUCAACAUCAAAGAACUCAUACUAAAGAAAAACCUUAUGAAUGUAAUGAAUGUGGGAAAACAUUCAGCCAGCCUUCAUAUCUCAGUCAGCACAAAAAAAUCCACACUGGAGAAAAACCCUAUAAAUGUAAUGAAUGUGGAAAGGCCUUCAUUGCUUCUUCAUCACUUAUGGUACAUCAGAGAAUUCACACUAAAGAGAAACCUUAUCAGUGUAAUGUGUGUGGGAAAUCUUUUAGCCAGUGUGCCCGUCUUAAUCAGCACCAGAGAAUUCAAACUGGAGAGAAACCCUAUAAAUGUAGUGAAUGCGGGAAAGCUUUUAGUGAUAAAUCAAAACUUGCAAGACAUCAGGAAACUCACAAUGGUGAGAAACCCUACAAAUGUGAUGAUUGUGGGAAAGCCUUUAGGAACAAGUCAUAUCUUAGUGUACAUCAGAAGACCCACACUGAAGAGAAACCGUAUCAGUGCAACGAGUGUGGGAAGUCUUUUAAGAAUACCACAAUUUUUAAUGUGCAUCAGAGGAUUCAUACUGGAGAGAAACCUUUUAGAUGUAACGAAUGUGGAAAAGCCUAUAGAAGUAAUUCAAGCCUUAUCGUACAUAUAAGAACUCACACUGGGGAAAAACCCUAUGAAUGUAAUGAAUGUGGGAAAGCAUUCAACCGCAUCGCAAAUUUCACAGAACAUCAGCGAAUUCACACAGGAGAAAAACCCUAUAAAUGUAAUGAAUGUGGGAAAGCAUUCAUUAAUUAUUCAUGCCUUACUGUACACCACAGAAUGCAUACAGGAGAGAAACCUUAUAAAUGUACUGAAUGUGGAAAGGCCUUCAUGCGUUCUUCUUCUCUAAUUAUACAUCAGCGUAUUCAUACUGAAGAGAAACCUUAUCUGUGCAAUGAAUGUGGGGAGUCUUUCAGAAUAAAAUCACACUUAACUGUACAUCAGAGAAUUCACACUGGAGAGAAACCAUAUAAAUGUACUGACUGUGAGAGGGCAUUCACCAAAAUGGUAAAUCUCAAGGAGCAUCAGAAAAUUCAUACUGGAGUGAAACCCUAUAAAUGUUAUGACUGUGGAAAGUCCUUUAGGACAAAAUCAUACCUUAUUGUACAUCAGAGGACCCAUACUGGAGAAAAACCAUAUAAAUGUAAUGAAUGUGAGAAAGCCUUCACUAAUACAUCACAGCUUACCGUGCACCAACGAAGGCAUACUGGAGAGAAGCCCUAUAAAUGCAAUGAAUGUGGAAAGGUUUUCACAAGUAACUCAGGCUUUAAUACACAUCAAAGAACACAUACUGGAGAGAAACCAUUUAAAUGUAAUGACUGUGGGAAAGCAUUUAGCCAGAUGGUACAUGUCACAGAACAUCAGAAAAUCCAUAGUGGAGAGAAGCCCUAUAAGUGUGAUGUCUGUGGAAAAGCCUUCAGGAGGGGUUCUUACCUUACAGUGCAUUGGAGAACACACACUGGAGAAAAACCCUACACCUGUAAGGAAUGUGGAAAGGGUUGUAUUACUCUAUCACAGCUAACCCUACAUCAGAGAAUUCAUACUGGGGAGAGGCCCUAUAAAUGUGAAGAAUGUGGAAAAGCCUUCAGAACUAACUCAGACUUUACUGUACACUUGAGGAUGCAUACUGGAGAAAAACCCUAUAAAUGUAAUGAAUGUGGAAAAGCCUUCAGGAGUAGUUCGAGCCUUACUGUACAUCAAAGAAUACAUCAAAGAGAAACUCAGUUAAUAUAAAGAACAAUAAGUCAUUCACCUAGAUGUCAACUCCACAAGAUGAAUCUUAUAAACUAUAUUUUAUGAAUAUAGGAAAAUCUUCAUUAGGAAUUUAUCAGAAAGUAUACAGAGAAACUAUAAACAAUUAUGUGGGAAAUCAUUUAAUAAUAUUAAAUCUUAGAAGUUAUAAGGAAACUCUCACUAGAGGAAAAUAAUGAACAAAUGAAAGUGUUCAUCCAGAUUUCAUACUUUACUCAUUUAACAAAUUAUCUUUAGUUAAUUGCCUAUAUAUGUAUUUGCCUAUUUUUCUAUUCAUUUAUCUGUCUUUUCUUAUAAACCUGGAGGUGCUUUUUAUAUAUUUUUGAUAUUAAUCCUUUGUCAUUAUGUAGCAGAUGUUUUUCUUAAUCUAGCAUUUGUCUUUAUACUUUAUAGUAAUGCACAACAUUUUUAUAGGAAAAUAUUUGUAUCAUUUCCUUUUUAGAUUUUUUAUUUACUCAUUUUACUUAAAAGAGAUCUCCUUAAUCCCUAGGUUAUACGUAGUAUCCUAAAUGUGUUUUUAAGAUUUUUAUGAUUUUAUUUUUUACACUUAAGUCUUUAAUCCCUCUGGACUGGAUGGUUCUUCAUAGGAGAGCAACUGUAGGUGAUCAUUAUCCUGUGAAAAUAUUUUGAACCUAAAAAGCACUCAGGGAAAUGCAAAUUGAAAUGCUCAGUGAGAUGAAACUUCCCCUUCAUGGAUCUGGCAAAAAUUAAGAGAUCUUUUGCUAGCUAUUGGGAUUUGGGAAACCAUGUACUAUUACUUAAAGGUUGUGUAACAUACUUCCACCAGCAGUCCAACAAUAUAUGUUUAAAAAUUUAAAACAUAUAUACUCUUAGACCCAGCAGUCUCACUUUUGGAAUCUGUCCCUUAGAAAUAAAAGCAGCAUCAAUGCAUAAGAAUGUAAAUAAACAUGUUUGUUGAAGUACUGUUUGUAGAGGGGGGCAAAGCCCCAACUGCAAACAAAGUGAAUGCCCAUUAAUAGGGAACUGGUUAGAUAAAUUGUGACAUACCCAUAUUAUGGAACAGUGUGAGAGUAAUUUUAAAAAUGACUUAUAUCUAUACUAGCUGAUUUCAAUGUAUUUCCACAAUGUAUUGAUAAAUAAUUGCUUUAUAACAAAUGUAUAUAUACAAUAUAUCAUUUUUGUUAAAAUAAUCACACCCAUUUAUUUUGUGUUUAUGUGUGUGUGUGUGGUUAGAUGCACAUGGAGACAGGUAUGGAAGAAUAUACACCAGGCUGUUAAUAUUGAUUACCUUGAGGGGAGUGAGAAAAGGAGAAGUAGAGAUAAGGGAAGGAGAGACUGUAAAAACAGAAAAAUGUAAAUGCUGCCUUUAUGGUAUAAAACUGUAAAUGUAAUAUUAUGUAAUUAUGUGAACUUUUGAGAGAGAUGAAAGGAUGGUCUCCAAAAAAUUAAUGAUGGUUAUUUCUGUUUUAGUGGAUCAUCAAUUUUUUGUUUUUUACUUUCUUUUCUGUUUUUAAUUUUUUCCUUGCAAUGAACCUGUAAUAUUUACAUUAAAAGG
rnacentral:sRNA from 1 species